AAAACUCCGGUGGUAAUGGAUGGGCAUGCGUUGUAUUAGUUAGUUGGUGGGGUAACGGCUCACCAAGACAACGAUACAUAGGGGGACUGAGAGGUUAACCCCCCACAUUGGUACAGAGACACGGACCAAACUCCUACGGGAGGCAGCAGUGAGGAAUAUUGGUCAAUUGACGCAAGUCUGAACCAGCCAUGCCGCGUGCAGGAAGACGGCUCUAUGAGUUGUAAACUGCUUUUGUACGAGGGUAAACGCAGAUACGCGUAUCUGUCUGAAAGUAUCGUACGAAUAAGGAUCGGCUAACUCCGUGCCAGCAGCCGCGGUAAUACGGAGGAUUCAAGCGUUAUCCGGAUUUAUUGGGUUUAAAGGGUGCGUAGGCGGUCGGAUAAGUUAGAGGUGAAAUCCCGGGGCUCAACUUCGGAAUUGCCUCUGAUACUGUUCGGCUAGAGAGUAGUUGCGGUAGGCGGAAUGUAUGGUGUAGCGGUGAAAUGCUUAGAGAUCAUACAGAACACCGAUUGCGAAGGCAGCUUACCAAGCUACUUCUGACGUUGAGGCACGAAAGCGUGGGGAGCAAACAGGAUUAGAUACCCUGGUAGUCCACGCAGUAAACGAUGAUAACUCGUUGUCGGCGAUACAAUGUCG
rnacentral:rRNA from 1 species